rnacentral:rRNA from 1 species
GUCUAACCUGCCCAUUGAUUAUUUUAACGGCCGCAGUAUUUUGACUGUGCAAAGGUAGCAUAAUCAUUAGUUUUUUAAUUGAAAGCUUGUAUGAAUGGUUGGACGAGAUAUAAUCUGUCUUUAGAUUAUAGUUAGAAUUUAAUUUUUAAGUUAAAAAGCUUAAAUAAAUUUAAAAGACGAGAAGACCCUAUAGAUCUUUAUAAAGAUAAGAAUUUAAUUUUUAAGGAUUAUUAAUUUUUAUAUUUUUAUAUUUAUUUAAUUGGGGUAAUAGAGAGAUUUAUUUAAUUCUUUUUUUAUAAAACGUUGAUAAAUGAUUUAAAUGAUCCAUUAUUUUUGAUUAUAAGAUUAAGUUACCUUAGGGAUAACAGCGUAAUUUUUUUUGAGAGUUCUUAUCGAUAAAAAAGUUUGCGACCUCGAUGUUGGAUUAAAAUUAAUUUUGGGUGUAGAAUUUCAAAGUUUUAGUCUGUUCGACUAUUAAAAUUUUACAUGAUCUGAGUUCAAACCGGUGUAAGCCAGGUUGGUUUCUAUCUKUAAUUAAUUAAAAUAUUUUAGUACGAAAGGACCAAAUAUUUGGUAUAUAAUAUUUAAUAGUCUGAAUAAAA